AGUGAACGCUGGCGGUAGGCCUAACACAUGCAAGUCGAACGGCAGCACAGUAAGAGCUUGCUCUUACGGGUGGCGAGUGGCGGACGGGUGAGGAAUACAUCGGAAUCUACUUUUUCGUGGGGGAUAACGUAGGGAAACUUACGCUAAUACCGCAUACGACCUACGGGUGAAAGCAGGGGAUCUUCGGACCUUGCGCGAUUGAAUGAGCCGAUGUCGGAUUAGCUAGUUGGCGGGGUAAAGGCCCACCAAGGCGACGAUCCGUAGCUGGUCUGAGAGGAUGAUCAGCCACACUGGAACUGAGACACGGUCCAGACUCCUACGGGAGGCAGCAGUGGGGAAUAUUGGACAAUGGGCGCAAGCCUGAUCCAGCCAUGCCGCGUGUGUGAAGAAGGCCUUCGGGUUGUAAAGCCCUUUUGUUGGGAAAGAAAAGCUGCACUUUAAUACCGCGCGGUUCUGACGGUACCCGAAGAAUAAGCACCGGCUAACUACGUG
rnacentral:rRNA from 1 species